UACGAAGGGGGCUAGCGUUGCUCGGAUUUACUGGGCGUAAGGGCGCGUAGGCGGACAGUUUAGUCAGAGGUGAAAGCCCAGGCUCAACCUUGGAAUUGCCUUUGAUACUGGCUGUCUUGAGUACGGGAGAGGUGAGUGGAACUCCGAGUGUAGAGGUGAAAUUCGUAGAUAUUCGCAAGAACACCAGUGGCGAAGGCGGCUCACUGGCCCGAUACUGACGCUGAGGUGCGAAAGCGUGGGGAGCAAACAGG
rnacentral:rRNA from 1 species